GGGAAAACGCUGGUAACACUGAUUUUAGAACACAAAAGACUUGCCAUACGAAUCACUUCUUUAAAAACUGCUCUUUUUUUGUCGCUUCAGAUGAAGUAAAUGUGUUGCCACUACAGUUACGAUAUUCAAUACGAUCUACAGCCGUCAAUUAUUGCACAAUAUUAGUGCACAGCUGAUUAGUUGCUCACGCUCUAGCAGCUGGAAUUGAGAAGUUUCCGUCUAAUUUUACUAAAAGUGAAUUUUUGUUAAUAUUCGCAAUAUUUACGAUUUAAAAUGGACGAAAGUGAUAGUUGUGAAGAUGAUAAUACGUUCUAUUUUGAAAGUGAUCAUCUAGCUUUACGUGGUAAUGCCGAUUACACAAAUAUGCUGCGCACUAUAGCCGUGCUGGAGGUGCAAAGAAUGCGCGUGCACAAACAGUUAGAGGAGUUGGAAUUGGCGAGACAACGUUAUUUAAAUGAUCCAGAGUUACUGCUGCAAAAACUGCGGAAUAAUGAAGAAAUUAUAGCGCCAAAUUAUAUGACCAUUGAAAAGUUGCCCGAAAUUACCACCAAUUUGGACUUGCUACCGCCUGUAGACAUCAAAAUCAAAGAAGAGUCUGAUCCUGAUACAAAACCCGCAACAGUGCGUGGGCGCGUUGUAGACGAGUCUAAGCCCGAGACAUUUAAUCAGUUGUGGUCGUGCGAAGAGCAACGUCGCCUAGAAGAAUUGCUUAUCGAAUAUCCGGCUGAAGCGAUUGAAAGUCGUCGUUAUGUAAAAAUUGCCAAAGCUUUGGGCAAUCGUACACCACAACAGGUGUGUAGUCGUGUGCAAAAGUAUUUUCAAAAAUUACACGAUGCUGGUUUGCCCAUACCCGGACGUCGGCCAAAAAAUCGGCGCGGUGGACAAUCGAAAGCGAAGCAUUUCUUUCGGCCGACCACUUUCUUCCCAGCCUUUAAUGUGCCUGUACAUAUGCCGGAAGAUGACUUUUUAAUGGGUGAUUUACCAACGUCAAGUUCGCCAUUGCCAACAGACGCGCGUAAAGUCUUAACGGAAACGCCACUAGAAGAUGCCAUUGCGAACGGUAUUGAGGUGCAAAACGAUGACGACCGUGAACGUAUAAUAAAAAUAUUGACAAUGAUAAAGGAUGAAAAGUUGAAAACACCUGAAGGAUAUAAUCCAGAUCCAUUGGCGGCCAUGUGUGAAACAUGUCGCGUUACCGCCAUUUCACGUUUACGUUUUCGUUGCAAUACCUGUUAUAUAUAUUUGAAUCAAUGUUCCGAUUGUAUUGUGACCCAAUUGCUGGCGCACAACUUCGAGCAUCUGUCACACGAUGUGGUGACCGAGAGUGAUUUGUAGCAGUCACAAAAGUGAGGUGACUGCCCGUACGCCUGUGUUUAAUGUUUAAGCAAUAACCAUUUUCACCAAAAUCACACAUAUAGUUUUAUAUUAAAUUUAUAUUUUUAUUUAAUCGUUAUUUAAAUUCGGUUCUAAGUUCACUAAACGCUGCAAAAAUAUUAAAAUUUCGAUGGUUUCGGUUAAAGAACUAAUUUGAAGAAUAAUAUAGUUACUUGUAAGCAUUCAUGCAGACACCGUGUGUGCAAAGCCUCAAAAGCCGCAUGAAAUUCUAAUUAUCGACAUUUUUCUUCAAUCCAAUCAAGUAUUGAAGCAGUUGAAAUACACUCAUACAAAACUAUUCAUUCAUCAGUUCAUUUCAA
rnacentral:misc_RNA from 1 species